rnacentral:misc_RNA from 1 species
GCAAACUUGGUCAUUUAGAGGAAGUAAAAGUCGUAACAAGGUUUCCGUAGGUGAACCUGCGGAAGGAUCAUUAUCGAGUACAGGAGCCUACGCUCCUACUCCCACCCUAUGUUGACUUGUACCGUUGCUUUGGCGGGCCGGCGGGGACACCCGCCGCCGGGCGGCGCCUGGAGAGCGCCCGCCAGAGGACCACGCAAAAACUCUUGUUAACUUUGAGAGUCUGAGUACUUGAGAAUUGACCAAAACUUUCAACAACGGAUCUCUUGGUUCUGGCAUCGAUGAAGAACGCAGC